rnacentral:lncRNA from 1 species
CACUACAGCGUUUGCAGCUUUCCAGCUCAUCAUGGUUAAUUUAAGACAAGAGGGAAGAACAAGGGGCAUCCACACUAAUCUGGAUAAAGGCUGCUUCUUCAGCCACAGCUAAGAUGCAUGUCAUAGGAAUGAGAGCCACCUCUGUUUCAGGAAGCCCCUGGGAUUUUAGAGCUGCUUGUAACUGCAGCCUAACACAGCCUCAGCCGACUGAUACAUCCAGUGUCGUCAAAACACAGCAGUGAACCAAGCAGCUGUCUCAUUGUUUGAGAAACAGUUGUUUCACGGGUGAAUUGACCUCAUCUUCGGCAGCCACUGGUUUGCUAAGCAUUUACUUUGAACAUUUCUAUGGCUGGAGUACAAUGGCACGAUCUCAGCUCACUGCAACCUCCACCUCUCAGGUUCAAGCGAUUCUCCUGCCU